rnacentral:snoRNA from 1 species
GGGGGGUAUCAAUUCCAUGUGUUCUUGAUGGCGUCAUCUUACUGUUAAAUUUCAUUAUUUGAAGUUUAAAAUGAGCAAGAUUUUUUAGAUGCUACAAGUGUUACAGUUUCUCUGUAAUAGGAUUAUGAUACAUGGUAGAUAAAUUCCUUGGGAAGAUGUAUCUCCAGCUGUUGAAGAGGGGGAAGCCUUUCUCUUCUUCUUCGAUUCAAUCUGAUACAAUUGGUCAUAAUUCUUCCCACAUCU